AGUUUAUAUAUGUGUUGCUGCAGUUGAAAAGCUCGUAGUUGGGAGUUGGAUUGUUUGGUGGGGGGUUCUGGUUUGGGAUUCUGUCCCUGCCGGUUAAAUUCACACUUGUGUGUUGCCCCCUCCACUUCUACUUUUUUUGUUCAUGUAAGGGUGAGUUUCCUCACCUCUACAUUUGAACGUGUUACUUUGAGUAAAUCUGAGUGUUCAAAGCAGACGGAAAUCCUCCCUCCUGAAAGUUGGAGCAUGGAAUAACCUGAUAGGACUCCCGUGGGCCUUUUUAGUUGGUCUAAGCCGUUCCGGAAUAAUGACUAAAAAGGACAGUCGGGGGCACUCCUACUUCCUUGGCAGAAGUGAAAUUCUUGGAUUUAGGAAAGACGAACCACUGCCAAAGCAUUUGCCAAGGAUGGUUUCAUUAAUCAAGAACGAAAGUUGGGGGCUCGAACAUGAUCAGAGACCGUUGUAGUCCUAUUGACUGUAAACGAUGCCGACUGGGGAUCUGGGGUGAGAGAUAUUUUGGCGUAUGGGAGUAAGAGU
rnacentral:rRNA from 1 species